UGGAUCUGUGUUGCGUAUUAG
rnacentral:misc_RNA from 1 species